rnacentral:rRNA from 1 species
GAUGAACGCUAGCGGCAGGCUUAAUACAUGCAAGUCGAGGGGCAGCACGGUUAGCAAUAACUGGUGGCGACCGGCGCACGGGUGCGUAACACGUAUACAAUCUACCUUAAACAGGGGGAUAGCCUUUCGAAAGAGAGAUUAAUACCCCGUAAUAAAUUGAACGGCAUCGUUUGAUUUUGAAAGCUCCGGCGGUUUGAGAUGAGUAUGCGUCUGAUUAGCUAGUUGGUGAGGUAACGGCUCACCAAGGCGACGAUCAGUAGGGGAUCUGAGAGGACUAACCCCCACACUGGUACUGAGACACGGACCAGACUCCUACGGGAGGCAGCAGUAAGGAUAUUGGUCAAUGGAGGCAACUCUGAACCAGCCAUGCCGCGUGCAGGAUGACGGCCCUAUGGGUUGUAAACUGCUUUUAUACAAGAGAAAACCCUGGUACGUGUACCAGGUUGAUAGUAUUGUAAGAAUAAGCAUCGGCUAACUUCGUGCCAGCAGCCG